UGGUCAGUUCGUAGGUGUGUCCGUAUUCUGUAAUUUGAUUGGUCUUAGUGGGGUCAUAGUUAUGGGUAUAUUCAGGGUGUUUGCCGCCUAAAUUCAGAGGAAAGAAAGAUAUUGAAGGGAACAGAACUAAUUUCCCUCGGUCACAAUAAGGAAACAAGAAUAUAUUGGCAUAGUGUAUCGUCGGAGAGAUUAUGAUCAGUUUAUAAGUGUUCUAGCCGACGUCCGGUUAAAAUACUGGUGCCUCCAUUCCAUAGAUGGGGGUGUUUUCUGAAUGACAGCACAACUGUCAUAAUGGAUUGGAAGUUGAAAUAAAGAAAAGAACCC